UAAAUCCGAGCUUCAUCGAAUUGCUGCUCAAACUAGCACUCACCAGACGAACAUCAGCACCACUACAGCUAUUGCUGCUCCUCCUAUGAAUCAACCAAGUGAGGAGUUCUCCCAAGCAUAUAUAGCUGCUCUUCAAAGGAUGCUAUCUCAAGCGUUCAAAGAAAAUGCUAAGGCUGCCCUUCAUCUUCAUCUAUGGGUUUUUCCAGCCUAUUUGCACAAGGUACUCUUACAGCCCUAUCUGUCAAUUAUUGUGCUCCUAAUGAUUGGAUUCUCGAUUUGGAUGCUACCGAUACUAUGACUGGUUGUAAAAGUAUUAUUCAGGAUCUCCAGCCAUACCCAAAAAAAGGCCGGGGUCCGUGUUGCUGACGAGAGUUUGGCCUCGAUUGACAGCUACUCUCACUAUAUUGCUGGUUCUUUAUGUUCCUACUCUUAAAUGCAACUUACUAUCCGUUCAUCAGUUAACCUCUAAUCACCAUUUUGAAUCUAAAUUUGGAUCUUAUGGUUGCCUCUUACAAGAAAUGGCAUCUGGGAAGGAGAUUGGCAAGCUUGAAGAGGUUAAUGGACUCUAUGUAUUGCAUGGUGUAAAGGGAGAUUUGGUGACCAGCAAUACAACUCAUGCAAUCUCUCGGAUAGACAGUAGUUGUAGUGAGAUUUUGUAAUGGCAUUUUCAUCUUGGGCAUCCUACUUUUCCUUAUCUGAAACAAUUGAUGCCUUUGCUAUUUAUUAAUAAAGAUGAAACAACUCUUCAGUGUGAUAUUUGCC
rnacentral:lncRNA from 1 species